GGUUUUUUGUUGUUGCACAACAAAACAGCAGAAGAGUUGAAAAAUAUUGAUCAGAAUAAGCACAAAAAAUUAAUAUAUAGAUGUCCCCUACAGGGAAUUCCAGGACUGAACAAGUUAAAAGUUUAACUUUUUGAGGGGCAAAAAAAAGAAUUGUAAGUAUUGAAUGAAUUUCAUGUAGUAUUAUAUUUAUGAUAUUUACCUAUAAGCAUUUAUGCCAUAAAAUUAAUUUAUUCGGCCAAUUUUACAUACAAAAAAAAUAAUUUCUAGUGGUCAGUUUAGGUAACCACCACCCACAUUUUCUCAUGUUCUGAUAAUGACAUAUCUUAUGCCAGAUAAAUUAUUUUGUAUGGUAAUCAUGGAAACACUUUUUUUUUCUUCAAGCAAAGUGCAACUUUGCAUGUGCUGCAUUCCCAUACUGUUCUUGUAGGCCUUUUUUUGUACAACUUGUCGAAGCCUGGUUCAUCUUUUUUUGGCAUGAGGUUAUUAUCAUUAGAUAUAUGUGACUCAGCAAAAAGCUGAACCUCUUCACUAGCAUCAAAGGUGAAAUAUAUGAAUCAUGAAUAUCGGGAGAGGCUGACCAGUAGUCUCUAUAACUUGGCAACUUUUUGAUUCCCAUGUACAUGUCGAUGCCUAGAAACACUGAUUUCUUCUUCAUUCAUUGAUGUAAAGGGUUUUCCUAUCUGUGUUGCAUAAAGAUUGGUUUGAAAAAUAAUGUGACUCACCAACUCUUCUGUGAAAAGCAUUUGGAAUAGCUUAUAUGUUGUGGGUUCAUCAAUAACUUUGAUGUUCUGCACUACUCCACCUCCCAGGAAAUCGGGAAUUAAUGGCACUGAUUCACUUUUACUCCAUUUAGGUGUUUGUGGCAAAACAUCAGAUAUGUGAUUGUAAGGCAAUGGCACAGGGGCACAUUAUUAUCGGAAGUAUUGCUCUCAUUUUCAGAAUCAAUGUCAUUGUUUCUAACAAGUUCUAUUUCGUUAAGUUCGUAUGUAGGAUCUUGAUCAGAAUCACUACAGCAGUCACCUAUGUCACUUUCAGUUCCAGAAGGUCUCUCUUCUAAUAAUAUUUGUUCAAUGCCUGACUCAGAAAUGCCUAUUUGUGACAUAUUUUCAACAUGCAACUUAUGCAUAGAAUGUGCAGUGGCUACCUAUACUAUAACCACCCCUUUUGGCUUUUUAAUUUUUUUACCUUUUUUAGAAAGCUUUUCUUUUGACCCUGUUCUCCUGUUGUCAUUUCUCCUUUUU
rnacentral:lncRNA from 1 species